ACUCCUACGGGAGGCAGCAGUGGGGAAUAUUGCACAAUGGGCGCAAGCCUGAUGCAGCCAUGCCGCGUGUAUGAAGAAGGCCUUCGGGUUGUAAAGUACUUUCAGCAGUGAGGAAGGUGGAUAUGUUAAUAGCAUAUUCAUUUGACGUUAGCUGCAGAAGAAGCACCGGCUAACUCCGUGCCAGCAGCCGCGGUAAUACGGAGGGUGCGAGCGUUAAUCGGAAUUACUGGGCGUAAAGCGCAUGCAGGUGGUUUUGUUAAGUCAGAUGUGAAAGCCCGGGGCUCAACCUCGGAAUUGCAUUUGAAACUGGCAAACUAGAGUACUGUAGAGGGGGGUAGAAUUUCAGGUGUAGCGGUGAAAUGCGUAGAGAUCUGAAGGAAUACCGGUGGCGAAGGCGGCCCCCUGGACAGAUACUGACACUCAGAUGCGAAAGCGUGGGGAGCAAACAGGAUUAGAUACCCUGGUAGGUCUGC
rnacentral:rRNA from 1 species